rnacentral:lncRNA from 1 species
GAAAAGGAAGAGGAGGAGAAUGAGAUCUUUAUAUAUACUGUGUGUGUGUGUGUAUAUGUAUGUGUAUAUAUAUAUAUAUAUAUAUAUAUAUAUAUAUAUUUGAAAGACCCAUUAAAACACAUCCCUUAAUCCUCUAGGAAAGUGGAGCUCUUUGCUUUGCCUUCUCUGCACUCUUGUACAACACACAACACAACUCCCAAUUAUUAUUUACUUCCCCCUAAUAUGAAAAUAAAAGCACAGCACAGACUAUAUACAAAAACAUACACACAAACUCCAAUCGUUUUUCCCCCCAAUCCAAACAUAAAAAGUGCAGACAAAACACCGCUUUCCCAUUAUACAAAAACAGACACAUAUUUUGGGGGGAAAUAGGGAAAUCAUAACAUAAAUAGUUUGCAUGGAUUUUGCUUUGAAAAGGUCUUGAAAUUGAGUAAAGUAUGUUACACUUAUUUUGCACAAGUUGCCAUUUGAACACAGAACUGGACGCAUUCCAUUAUUUUUGAAUGUAUAUUUUCUGUGUGUGUAUUAGAUUGAUUGUCUCAAAUAAUUAAUAAUUUUUUAAUAAAUUUAAAAAAAAAAAGCCAGGAAGGUGUUAACCACUAACAGGAACAACCCUCUCCAUGCCUAAUAGGGAUAGGGACCCCCCAUUGGUCCUUCUCUUUCUCUUCCCCCCAACCCUUGAAUUGCAGCCCUCUCUGCCCCCCAAACCCUGCUUACCUGUUGAUUAAUCAGCAAUAAUAGUAGUAAUAGUAGCAAUAAUAAUAACCGCAGCCGCUGGAAAGAUGGUGGAACUGUCGCCUGAGCCAUGAACCGUCUUUCUGUUGUUUGCAAGAGAGUUGGUCUUGGAUUAUUUUGGAAAGAGGUGGGAAAAAAAGCACCCGGGGGGAGAAAGAGGGAGGGAGGGAAGGAAGGAAGGAAAGAAGGAGGAGGAGGAAAAGCAAGGGAAGGAGGAGGGAAGAAAAGAGGGGGUUAAUAGGGGGAAGGAGGAGGAGGAGGAGGAGGAGAAGCAGAAGACGGGGGGCCGAGAUGUGCUCCCAGCCACCCUCCUCCCUCCCUCCCCUCUGCGGAUGGACAGAGAGAGAGAGAGGAGGGGGAGGCAGGCGAAGGGGACGCGCCAAGAAGACACAAAUGUGUUUCUAAAGAAGGGAAGCAAGGAAGGAAGGAAGGAAGGAAGGAAAAGAAAGAGAGAAGAUGAGACAAAUGAAGUCUUCUUCCUCUUAGUCAGGCAAUUUGAUUCCUCUUUUUUCAAAUCUAUUUCAAUUAAAUGACCAUUUUAGUGAGACACAAAAAGAAAAGACUUAAGAAAACACAACAGUUCAACUACAAACAUUAUCAGAUAUAUAAGAAGGGGGUUAGAGGAGCUGAGUGGGCACAUCAGAUUGCACAAUUCCUUGAACUUUUUCUAUUGGUACUUUCUCACCCCAGUACAACACAUGAGAUAUAGGUCCAAAUCUGUGAGUGAUAUAUAGGACCAAAUCCUCUUGGUCAGUCUCAACUUGUUGCACCUCAGAAUAGUUCACCUUGCUGUUGACACCAGAUCACACACAGAAGAUAGUCUUUUGUAAUUUUAUUGAGCAAAAGCAAAUAUAUAUCAAAGCAGGCAGAAAUUAAGUUCCCAAAGUAGUUGUAAAAAGAGUCAGUAAAUCCAAUAGUCCAUAGGCAAAACAAGAGUCAGUAAAUCCAAAAGAACAAAGGUCCAUAGGUUACAAAGAUCCAGGAAUGGGAGAAUCUCUAAGGCAGGAAAACAUAGACAUCCACUCUGAUGAAGCGAGAAUUUGCUUUGACAACGAUAUGUCUCUCAACACACACUUUUAAAAGCAACCCAAAAAUGCACUUCUCUUUCCUACAGAGGCCUCCCGUUUUCCCGCUAAUCUCAGGCUGCAGCGAGGCUGAGGCAUUCCUUUCCAUUGCAAAUGAUCUGCUCUAGAUAGCAAUGGCGCUUCAAGGCCAACUACAUCCUUAUCUUGCACCUGAAUAGGGGCCUGAGACAAAUCCAGCUCAUUAGUUCCCAUGGGAAUGUCUCCCUGGUUGUUAUCUAUGACAGGCUGGUUCAAGAGUUCACCCACAAGCUGUGUUCCUUGCUGUUCUGAACCAGCCUGUAUAAUUCCCAUCCCCAUGCCAUCAUCCUGAAAUUCAUCCUGCAUCCCAUCAUCUGGCUCCUGCAUCUGAAACCCAGAAUCCCUUUCCUCAUCUUCAGACUGGCUCUGCUGCUGCUGAGUCACAACACAACUAAAGCUGACCAUUUGGUCAACUGUAAUGCAAUCAAACUGAUUCUAUAGGUUUAACUUAAUUGAAACUACCAAUAGGAUUCAAGCCAUAGUUUCCUUGGCUAGUUAUAUCAGCUCAUCUUGUACCAUGAGGCAUUUCAUUCCAUCUCUCUCAAAAUUGUUUCCUGUAAAUCAUCAUGCUUGGUCUUACCUUCUACUUUUUUCCCUGAUCUUGUAAUCACCCUUUGGUAUCAUAUCUCUCAGAUUGUACACCAUUCUUAUAAUGUGUAAAUUGUCUUAAAAUUAUAUGUGAGUGCAGUAAACAAACAAACUAAUUAAUUCACAUUGCUAUAUUAUUUGUAUACCACCUUUUCACCUAUGUCUAUGGGUAGCAUUCACCAAAUGUUUGGGUUUUCAGAUUAUCACCCUUUGUGGGCUACCCUAUCCCCUGCCAAGCCUUGUGGAGGAGGGGAAGUUGUUUCAGGCCUAGAAAACAGGAAAUAACCAUAGCUGAGACCUUUGGUGAGCCAUACUGCCCACAUAAUUUCCCAUCACUGAUUUCUAUGCAGUCUACAUUUAUAAACAAUAGGGAAAUAUGCUUUGCACAAAAGUAGACUAUUUGCAUAAAAUUGCAAAGUAAGAUUAUCAAAACUGAAUUAUGUCUUGGUACAAAGAAACCAUUCAUUUUUGGUUUGUUCCAGAAAGGCUUUGCUAAAGGUAUAAAAUACUGUUCCAUGUUUUCACUACCAUGCUUGGAAAAAGCUCCCCCUGCUCCACAGUGUCUACUAACCUCAUAAUGGAAGUCCUUGAAAUUUGAAAGGUUGUUUUGACAUAUUUGACAUAUCCUUUUCAUCAACGUCAAAACAAAAUGUCAAUGUUUUGCAAUUGUAUCCCUCUGUGAGGAAGGAUUAUGAUGUCCACUCAGUGACUAAACAACAGAUUGUAGUGUAGACUUUAACAGACUAGUUAUUGAUCAUGACUUAUCUUUCUUGCCUCUACAUAAAUCUGACACACACACUUAUAAUUAACUAAAGUUAUGAUGUAAUGUCCCCAGAUUCUACCUUGAUUCUUUUGAUAAGUAAUAAUCAUAGCAAGGAAAGUUAGUUUUAAGUACAAUUAUAUAUUUAAGCCAUCUUUCCUAGCAGAGUGUAGUAGCACUUGAACAAUGUAAUAAUGUUCCUAUACUGUUUAGUGAUGCCAGUGCACCAAAACUAUAAAGCAAACUUACAUAUUGCAAUCAAACUACAGAAAGUGUGACCAUAUCUUUCAUUGGUAAAGUCAUAAUAUGAUUAUGCCUUUACAGUUGGGAGAUAACAUAACAUUUUCCAGAAAUGCAUCCCUGGAUUGUAAGUUAGUAAGGGAUAUUUUCACUCUUUCUGCAGUUUGUUUGCAAAUAUUAUGUACAGAACGCUCCCUACAAGUAGCUAUUUUCAAAUUA